UCUUGUUUUUCUUUCUCCUCUUGCUAUCUUCCCUUGUGAUUGAUGACUUUUUUUAGUGUUAUGCUUGGAUUCCUUUCUCUUUAUUUUUUCUCUAUUUAUAGGUUUUUGGUAAACA